UGUACUUCCUGUGUAACUCCGCUGCUGGGUGAGAAGAAGCAGUGGAAUUAGGGGUGUUGGGCAGAGCUGCUAGGGCUUGUGGUCUUUCUAAGGGACUGGGGAAAGACCCAGUGGGGUCCUUGGAGCUGAAAAGGGCCCAGCGGGAAGCUGAAGGAAGCCAUCAAGGUGUGGGCCACAGCUUCGCCUCCACUAACAGCAUGCACGCUAUGGGACAAGACUUCUCUGGAGUGUUUUCAUCCUGCAAGUCAGAGUCCUCAUCUCCAUGGUGGCUCCCCUCUUCCCAGACACGGGCAGCCUCAUCACCUUUGAAGAUGUGACACAACUUCUAGCCUUCUCCACUCCAAGUCUCAGAGGUUUCUCUGUAUUGUUUUGGAGGCUGUCGGUCCAGCCCGGCCUCGAACAGACUUGUCAUCUUUAGAACAUAACAGACUCAUGUGUCCUGGAUGCUACUCAGGGAAAGGCAGCGCUUUUGAACUCCAACUCUCCCUGUGGCUUCGUUCAACACCUCAGACUGAUUCCAGUGUAGUCAGUAGAGUAGAGCAGCCCUAUGGAGGCCAUAUCCUCCUUAAUCAUACGAAGCUCAGGUUUCCAUGGGUGCCACACACGGAGCUGCGUGAAGGAUAAGAGCACUGCACACGGAGCUUCGUGAAGGGAAGAGCACUGCACACGGAGCUGGGGGAAGGAUAGGAGCACUGCACAAUUUUAGGUGGGAGGCACUGAACACUGUGAGCUCUUUCCAUGUGGGCCCACAAGUGCUGGAGAGGAGGUGGGCGAGACCUUCAGGGGAUAGGGGCAGCCGGAGUGUCCUUUUCUCCCUGCCAUUACUUGCCCUGGCAUGAACUGUGCCAGCCCAGAGCUCAAGGGCUGGGGCAUGAGCACUUAAAGCUCACACACGGGAGCCUGUGAAAUUGUUGCAGUCCUGUCUUAUCGAUGGAGGAGCCCUGUUUCCUUUCCCCAACAGUUUGCAAAGAAAAAUAAGUGAAUUCUUUUCUGUAGUGAAAUCACUUUUUUUUUUCUGUGUUUGGAGACAGGCAGCCUCCUGUAACCAUGGGCAAACUCAAGUGCAGUCAGGGAGCUCACAAGUGAUGGUCUGAAGCCACCCAGGCCUUCCUCCAACUUGCUAGCCCCACCUGUGUGGCCUCUGUGGCCACCCUGUUGCCAUCACAGAUUCUCUCAUCGCCUCAAAGACCUUUCCUUUUUGGGGUCUCCAUUAGAACUGCCAAAGUCAUUUUGAAAACAUGUCAUAUGCACACUCCAGAUAUUAAUAGGCAAGUUUAGAUUAAAUCUAUUAUGAAUAGGUACUUUCGUUAAAAGAAAAAAGUAUGUCAACUUUGAGACCGAUUGAGACCGAUUUCACACCAAACACUUAUGGAGGUUACAGGUUAGGUGUCCUUGGAGUGAGGAGGGGAACAACUGUCUUCUGGGAGCGAAGCCAGAAAUGGGCUUCCUCCCGCUGGGGGCGUUUCCUCUCUCAAAACAAGUCUCCUGGACCUGAAGCUUAUUCAACAAAUCGAAUCAUCAGUACACACAGCUAGCAUGCUGCAAGCCUCGUCUUGGCUACGACACUGCAGAGGAUUCCAGAAAAAAGAGAAAACGGAAGCCGUGUAUCGGAAAGGGUCUCGAUGCUGCUGUUCCUGGAGGUCUUAAUUCCCUCAGCCUAGUGAGACAGCCAGGGAGGGCAAAGUGUGCAAUCCUCAUCAUUCCGAUGAAGACCUUGUUCUGACGGUGGAUGCCAAAGACCACUGCGUCGUCAUAAACACUUAGGUGGUAGCCUGCAAUGAUCCUCCAUCGUGACUCCAGAGGACUUAUGAAUUUUCUGGCAUUAAAAACAAAAUUCCUGUGGCUAGGAGGAAGCCUCGACCAUGUGCAAGCAUGAGGCCCCGAGCUGAAGCCCCAGAUCCCAUGUAAAAGAGCCCAGUGUGGUGGCCUGAACUUGUGAUCCUGGAGCUACAGAGGUGAGGACAGGUAGCCCCUGGUGCUCCUUAGCUAGCCAGUCAAGGUGAGUUCCAGGCUAGUGAGGUGCCAAUAUGAACACGUGCACGUGCGCGCACACACACACACACUUAUUUUUGAAGCCAUUUGCAUUUAUAUUUCAAUAAUAAAAAAAGAGGAAGAAAAUGCUCUGGGCUCUGUAGCUGGGAGCCCUGGAGGUGUUUAGUGUGUCCCUUCACUGUCCUCUGAACCAGGGACGCCUCUCUCUCUGUCCCUCUGUGUCCUGCUAUGGGCUUCCAGGGUGUGCGCCUCCGGCUCGGCCCUGCCCAGCGUUUGGAGGUGGGGCUGCAGCUUCCCUUGGGCCGUCUGGCAGGCCUGGAGUCCUGGACCUUAGGUCCCAGAGCCCGUAGAACACACAAACAUCUCUCCUCAGUUCUCCCGGGUACUCCACUUCCUUGGACUAAAUAGGUUUUCCCAAGCUUAAACCGAGCCUUCCUUUUCCUCCCACCCAGUCUCCCACCGCUAAGCCCUGCGUGAAAAGCCUGCCGGCAGCAGGCAAAUUUGUUGAACCACGAGCCGCGGGAACGAAAUGUUUCCUUUCCUAGGUUCUCCGGCGAGCUUCUCCUUCUGCUUCCUUCUUCGCACACCCAGGCUAAAUGAGAGCUCUGCCUGGCGAUGCAGCCUCCGGAAAGCCAGCCUACCUCCUCCAGACCAGAGCGCAGCCCCGCCCUCUCAGCCAGCCUACCUUCUCCAGACCAGGGAGCAGCCCCGCCCUCUCACCCUCCCGGUAAUUGUAACGGGAUUGUGGCAGACGCCCAUUUUCAAACACGAUGCUAGCACCGGUUCAGGUGCCUAAUCCUAAUGCAGACGAAGGCGGCGGCCUUGUUGGAGUUGGUCCUCCAAGACAGGCUGGUGAGGCCUCAAAUUGAGUUAUAGUGUACGUGCAACACGUGAGGCGAAGGCUCAUCAAAGGAAGGGGUGGCGCACAGAAAUAAACGCGCUGGCCGCA